rnacentral:rRNA from 1 species
UCCAGACUCCUACGGGAGGCAGCAGUGGGGGAUAUUGCACAAUGGGGGGAACCCUGAUGCAGCGACGCCGCGUGGGUGAAGGAGUAUUUCGGUAUGUAAAGCCCUAUCGGCAGGGAAGAAGCAAGACGGUACCUGACUAAGAAGCCCCGGCUAACUACGUGCCAGCAGCCGCGGUAAUACGUAGGUGGCAAGCGUUGUCCGGAUUUACUGGGUGUAAAGGGGGCGCAGACGGCGAUGCAAGCCAGGAGUGAAAGCCCGGGGCCCAACCCCGGGACUGCUCUUGGAACUGCGUGGCUGGAGUGCAGGAGGGGCAGGCGGAAUUCCUGGUGUAGCGGUGAAAUGCGUAGAUAUCAGGAGGAACACCGGUGGCGAAGGCGGCCUGCUGGACUGCAACUGACGUUGAGGCCCGAAAGCGUGGGGAGCAAACAGGAUUAGAUACCCGCGUAA